UAUAUUUCUCUGCUGGUGUCGCGCCCCCUCUCCCUCCACCACCUCACAUAUCAAACCGCCAGCGGGGCUCAUGCGCAAGAUGAUGACAGCGAGAUGGGGGAAGGCUUUGUGUGUGUAUGUGUUCUUUCGACGUGAGUCUAUGUCUGUGCCAUACAUUACGAGGUCCUACCCCACUUAACACCGCGCUAGGGUGCUGCGCCGACUCAGUCGUCGGAGAGCACGGCCCCCUGCCUCGGACUCUACCCACACACCUCUCGCUCCGCAGGUCGCCUCACCGCCGCUCCCGCAUCAUGCCGGUCGCCGCCUGGUGCAUCCUCCCCUCGGGGUGCCUCAGGCCUCCCCCACACCGCUGUAGGCAGCGCGAGGGCCGGGGGUGGGAUAUGCGCUCGCGUCACGCUGAAGCUCUGCCUGUCACAUGGAUGGCGCAGACGUGUUCACUGCCGGGAGUCGCUGUGACCCUCCCUACGCCGUAGCUGCUGGACCCUGAGAUACGGCGCGCUGAGGUGCCCACCGUCAAACAGGGUGUGGAACAAGCUGCACCAAAGAGUCAAAUACAAAAAAAAACGAUGUGGAGGAAUUUGGGAAUGUUCUUCGUGGCCAGAGUGCCGAUCAGCUGUUUGUGCACACGCGCAUGACCCUUCUUCAUUCAGACGCGUAAGGGGCGAUGCACACCAGCGGCGGUACCCAGCACCUGGGCGCGUGUUUCUUUCUUCUUCUACAUCGCUGCGAGGCAAGCGAGGUGUACAGGAACGAGUACCAAAAUCCAAUGGCGGGCAGUGCAUCAUCGUCCCUCACCUUUUUUUCCCUUUGUUGUCUGCCUGUUUCAG
rnacentral:misc_RNA from 1 species